GCAAGUGGUAGGAGAGCGUUCUAUUCAGCGUUGAAGGUAUACCGGUAAGGAGUGCUGGAGCGGAUAGAAGUGAGCAUGCAGGCAUGAGUAGCGAUAAUUGAUGUGAGAAUCAUCAACGCCGAAAACCCAAGGUUUCCUACGCGAUGCUCGUCAUCGUAGGGUUAGUCGGGUCCUAAGCAAAGUCCGAAAGGGGUAUGCGAUGGAAAAUUGGUUAAUAUUCCAAUACCAAUUAUUAUGUGCGAUGGAAGGACGCUUAAAGUUAGUGGAGCUAGCGGAUGGAAGUGCUAGUCUAAGGGUGUAGGUUGAGUUAUAGGCAAAUCCGUAACUCUUUAUCCGAGACCUAAAAGGCUCAUGACGCUCUUCGGAGUAGAUUGAGAAUCCAUGAUACUAUCGAGCCAAGAAAAGUUUCUAAGUUUAGUAAUAAUUGCCCGUACCGUAAACCGACACAGGUGGGUGGGAUGAGUAUUCUAAGGCGCGUGGAAGAACUCUCUUUAAGGAACUCUGCAAAAUAGCACCGUAUCUUCGGUAUAAGGUGUGCCUAACUUUGUAUUAAGAUUCACUCCCAAAGCAAAGAAGGUUACAACAAAGAGUCCCUCCCGACUGUUUACCAUAAACACAGCACUCUGCUAACACGUAAG
rnacentral:rRNA from 1 species